rnacentral:rRNA from 1 species
GCAAGUCGAGCGGCAGCGACACAUUGAACCUUCGGGGGAUUUGUUGGGCGUUGAGCGGCGGACGGGUGAGUAAUGCCUGGGAAAUUGCCCUGAUGUGGGGGAUAACCAUUGGAAACGAUGGCUAAUACCGCAUGAUAGCUUCGGCUCAAAGAGGGGGACCUUCGGGCCUCUCGCGUCAGGAUAUGCCCAGGUGGGAUUAGCUAGUUGGUGAGGUAAGAGCUCACCAAGGCGACGAUCCCUAGCUGGUCUGAGAGGAUGAUCAGCCACACUGGAACUGAGACACGGUCCAGACUCCUACGGGAGGCAGCAGUGGGGAAUAUUGCACAAUGGGCGCAAGCCUGAUGCAGCCAUGCCGCGUGUAUGAAGAAGGCCUUCGGGUUGUAAAGUACUUUCAGCAGUGAGGAAGGAGGUAUCGUUAAUAGCGGUAUCUUUUGACGUUAGCUGCAGAAGAAGCACCGGCUAACUCCGUGCCAGCAGCCGCGGUAAUACGGAGGGUGCGAGCGUUAAUCGGAAUUACUGGGCGUAAAGCGCAUGCAGGUGGUUUGUUAAGUCAGAUGUGAAAGCCCGGGGCUCAACCUCGGAAUUGCAUUUGAAACUGGCAGGCUAGAGUACUGUAGAGGGGGGUAGAAUUUCAGGUGUAGCGGUGAAAUGCGUAGAGAUCUGAAGGAAUACCGGUGGCGAAGGCGGCCCCCUGGACAGAUACUGACA